GAGGAAUAUUGGUCAAUGGACGGAAGUCUGAACCAGCCAUGCCGCGUGCAGGAAUAAGGUCCUAUGGAUUGUAAACUGCUUUUAUUUGGGAAUAAACCUCCUUACGUGUAGGGAGCUGAAGGUGCCAAAGGAGUAAGCACCGGCUAACUCCGUGCCAGCAGCCGCGGUAAUACGGAGGGUGCAAGCGUUAUCCGGAAUCAUUGGGUUUAAAGGGUCCGCAGGCGGGCUGAUAAGUCAGAGGUGAAAUCCCACAGCUUAACUGUGGAACUGCCUUUGAAACUGUUAGUCUUGAAUUAAGAUGGCGUUGGCGGAAUAGGUCAUGUAGCGGUGAAAUGCAUAGAUAUGACCUAGAACACCGAAAGCGAAGGCAGCUAACGAAUCUUAUAUUGACGCUCAUGGACGAAAGCGUGGGUAGCGAAC
rnacentral:rRNA from 1 species